rnacentral:lncRNA from 1 species
GAAAAUAUCAAAUGAAUGGCUCAACUUGGUGGUUUGUAACUUUUGAUGUUUUGAGAGUACCAUUAAGAUUUUUUCACACACAAGUAAAAGAUUAUGUCCAGUGUCAAGGAGAAACGGUGAAGUGUUUUCAUUUUGAAAACAAACACUUUACCAUUAGAAAUACACUCUUUUCUCUUCAAAUUCAGUUUCAGCACCCCAAAAAAUGAUCAGGUACAAAUGUUUAGAAAAAUAGUCCAUGUAGAUUGAAAGUUAUUACAUUAUUUGUUGCAGCAUUGAAAUUCAAGAUGGCAGCCGCUAGCCUAAAAUUGAGUGAUUUGAGCCAAAUUUCAAAUCAGCAUAACUUUUUACCUGUUGGGAGUUGGGGUCUGAAAGUUGGCACUUUUUUUGUUCUUACUGAUAGUAACAACUGGUCAUAAUUUGAUGGAAAUCUGAGAUGGUGGGCUUCAUGCCUGUCCAACAUUUAUAUGAAAUUACCCAUAUACCAUAUAUAUACAUAUGGCUGUACGUGCAUGUGUACAUAUAGAUUGCUGCUACAAUUGAAAACAAAAUGAUAAUAAUACAUUGAGAUUGCUGACUUUCAUUAGUAAAUCCCUCUUUUGUUACUUUUCCUUCAACAUAUUAAAUAAAUUUUUUUAACUUCUAAUAUACAGAAUUUCUUAAUUUGAUUUUGAGUUCUGUUCAGUUCAAUCAACCUGGGAAUUUUAUAUAUGACUACCCUUACACAACACAAAAAAUACAGAAAGUCAAAAUAGCAAACCUGUCUUGUACAUAUACAGACAAAUGCACACGCUAGAAUUGCAUACAUUUUAUAUAAAUUAUGAAUAAAAGCAUGAAGCAUG